rnacentral:rRNA from 1 species
ACCAGACUCCUACGGGAGGCAGCAGUGGGGAAUAUUGCACAAUGGGGGAAACCCUGAUGCAGCGACGCCGCGUGAGUGAGGAAGUAUUUCGGUAUGUAAAGCUCUAUCAGCAGGGAAUAGAAAAGAAGGUACCUGAAAAAGAAGCCCCGGCUAACUACGUGCCAGCAGCCGCGGUAAUACGUAGGGGGCAAGCGUUAUCCGGAUUUACUGGGUGUAAAGGGAGCGUAGACGGCAGCGCAAGUCUGGAGUGAAAUGCCGGGGCUCAACCCCGGAACUGCUUUGGAAACUGUGCAGCUAGAGUGCGGGAGAGGUAAGAGGAAUUCCUAGUGUAGCGGUGAAAUGCGUAGAUAUUAGGAGGAACACCAGUGGCGAAGGCGUCUUACUGGACCGAAACUGACGUUGAGGCUCGAAAGCGUGGGGAGCAAACAGGAUUAGAUACCCGGGUAA